UUCUCCGCCCAAACUUCGUCUCGUCUUCUGGUUCUCUCCUACUCAGAAUUCAGAACCAAGCGUCGCCGCGGCCGGGAACUUGGACGCAACAGAUAACUAUCGGGCAUGGCGAACGUGUCGGGCGAUCCUCACUCCAUCGACGCUUCUGCCCAGAGCUUCGCUGAUGCGGAUUUCAUCAGCAGCUUACAGUCCCAGCUCGAGUCUCUUCGUCAAACAGUCAAGGAACUCGAGGUUGAGAACAUGAAGUUGUCGUCUCAAAUUGAGAAUUGCCGCUGUUGUUGUCAUGAGGUGAAGGGGAAUUUUAAUUGUACUGAUGUGGAUGAUGCUGUUACAGUUGAGAAAACCAGACAAUUACAAGCCAGUGGUGAUAAGUUGAAAAAGAAGAAAUUAGUAGUGAAAAUGGCAGGUGAUAAUGCAAAGAUGAUGCAUCAUUAUUCCAAGCGAUUUGUUGCUUUGAAAGUUAUGUACUUUGGGCAAAGGUUUUAUGGUUUUGCUUCGGAGGCACAAAUGGAACCAACUGUUGAGUCUGAAAUUUUCAGAGCUCUUGAGAAGACGAAGCUUUUAUUUGGUGACAAAAAAGAGGUUCAGUAUUCAAGAUGUGGUAGAACAGACAAGGGAGUUUCCUCUGUUGGGCAGGUGAUUGCUUUGUUUCUGCGAUCAAACCUCAAGGAAGCUGAUACAAUUACAAGCAAUGGAAGUUCUGGAAAAAUUGUUUCUGAAGAACAAUAUGAGGAUGAGGUUGAUUAUGUGAGAGUGUUAAACCGAGUCCUUCCAAAAGACAUCCGUGUCAUGGGCUGGUGUCCUGCUCCUAUUGGUUUCAAUGCAAGGUUUAGUUGUUUAAUUAGGGAGUACAAAUAUAUUUUUUGGAGAGAAAAUCUGAAUGUAAUGGCAAUGGAGAGUGCUGCCAAGAAAUUUGUUGGGGAACAUGAUUUCAGAAACUUCUGUAAAAUGGAUGCUGUCAAUGUACAUAACUAUAGGCGGCAUGUCAGUUCAUUCAAAAUUUCUCCUCUCAAUAAGAGGUUUGAAGGCAAUGAACUCUGGGCAAUGAAAAUUAAAGGCAGUGCUUUCCUGUGGCACCAGGUUCGGUGCAUGGUUGCUGUACUGUUUAUGAUUGGCCAAGGACUUGAAUCCCCCAAUGUAAUUGAUGCAUUACUAGAUAUUGACAGCACCCCAAGGAAACCUCAAUAUAUCAUGGCUCCAGAGAUUCCAUUGAUUCUUCAGUCCUGUGAAUUUGAGAAUCUGAAGUUCACUUGCUCAUCUGAUGCCAGGAAAGCUUUGAGGAGGCACUUUGAAAAUGAAUACCAAACUUACCAGCUCCAUGCUGCAAUCUUUAAGGAGGCUCUGCUAGCUUGUUCAUCUUUAGAAAAUGAUCAGAGCUCUUUGAAUAAUGGAGCAAAGAAGGGGCCUUCCCACAUUCCUCUUAUGUCACGGGCAUCUGAGCCAUCUUACGAAGAGCGAUGUGCUAAAUUGAAGUCAAGAGUAUGCGAUGAAGAGCAAAGGUGAUAUUGGCAUAAUCAGAAACUAAAGAGACCAAAGCCAGGGAUUUUCCUGUGUUUUUUUCUUUCUGUUAAAUUGAAUAUCACUUCUUUGUGGUUUGCAGGGAACACGCACGUUGAGAAUUGAGAUGCAUGUCAUAUUUAGAGGGCUCUCUUUCUACGAGGGAAUGUUUUGCGUGUAGAACGAGUGGCUUGAGGGCCCUUGAGUAAGUAAAAGAAUUCUACCUUUUCAUGGUAGACAGUUUCAUAGUAUACUCAUGAUCCAUGAAUGUAUAUUUUAUUGGGACCUUUAUAUGGAAGCCAUUUAUUUUGUCACCAUGGAUAAAAAAACUUGAGUUUUCGAAAGAAGGUGUUGCUGACUUUGCUGUGGCAUUGAGUCAUGUAGACUUCAGUGUUAUUUUAUUUAUUUAUUUUUUCCUUUUGUUGCU